UUUUUGGUACCAAGGAUUGUGACUGUUGCCGUGACAAACUUGAGCAUGUGUUCGAAGGCCUUUGGAACUGGUUGCAGACUGUUUGGGGACCAGCAUGAUGGGCAUGGAGAUGCAAGUGGCCUGAGCAAUGUGAUUGAUAGUCACCUGCAUCAUCAUUAACAUCAUGAUGAGAGACACCAUUACCACCAUUAGCAGUAGCAACAUUAUCAGCAUCUUCACCACCAUGACCAGAGAAGACAGACACUGCCACUGCUGCUGCCACCACCACCACCUGGUAUUGACUCAGGAAUGAAAACGCCACUGCUGCUAUUAGCUCCCUCUCUCACACCCUUUCUAUCUCAAUUUGUCUCCCACACUUCCCUCCUCUACUCAAGAUGCAUUAGCCAUGCUGGAACCUGUGAUGAUCUUAGGAUUUUAAAAACAUUUUCCAGUUAGCUGACAUAGUUCUGAUAUACCAGUGCUGAGUGUAUACUUUCUAUUGCUAUGAUAAAAUACCCAACAAAAGCAAGUAAAGGAAGGAACGAUUAACUACAGAUCAUAAGUC
rnacentral:lncRNA from 1 species